rnacentral:rRNA from 1 species
GACGAACGCUGGCGGCGUGCCUAAUACAUGCAAGUCGAGCGAAGCGGCGGAUGGGUGAGUAACGCGUGGGUAACCUGCCCUUAAGUCUGGGAUCCCAUUUGGAAACAGAUGCUCAUACCGGAUACUACAGGAUGGACCUGCGAUGCAUUAGCUAGUUGGUAAGGUAACGGCUUACCAAGGCGAUGAUGCAUAGCCGAGUUGAGAGAGGGAGAGGCCACAUUGGGACUGAGACACGGCCAAAACGCGUACGGGAGGCAGCAGUAGGGAAUCUUCCACAAUGGACGAAAGUCUGAUGGAGAAACGCCGCGUGAGUGAAGAAGGUUUUCGGAUCGUAAAGCGCUGUUGUUGGUGAAGCGGUAAUCAACCAGAAAGUCACGGCUAACUCCGUGCCAGCCGCCGCGGUAAUUC